GGCAGGGCCAACCCAGGGUAGCUCAGCUGCAUGCAAUACACCUCAAUGACUGGAAGGGGUAGGGCCAGGAUCCAUCCAAUUCCAGACCUCAUUGAAGGGUUGGCAGUAGAGGUGAGAGUGUCUUGCUCGGGAUUCCUGUGUGUCUGAGGCUUUCUGAAGAACAUGCCAGUAAAAAUGGACAGAUAUUUAUCAUGUAGGUGCACACCAAGGAGAUUAAUCAUGGGACUACACUAUCUUCACUUCCCAGUUUCACUCUUCAGUGAAUAAAAUAGAUGGAGUCUAAAUUUCUGAGGAAAGAAGAUUAAUUGAAAAGAUAUUUAGUCUCCAUAGUAAUGUUGCAUCCUUCCUAUCAGAGAUGAAAUUUCACAGAUGCUGCUUUGAUGAAUAAUGAACCAUACAAGCAUUUGUCAGGAUGCUGAUUGUAUAUUGAUGAGCAAUUACAAGCGCCUUUAUGAUAAGAGCUAAAGAGUAGGAAACAAACAGCGCUGC
ensembl:lncRNA